ACUCCUACGGGAGGCAGCAGUGGGGAAUAUUGGGACAAUGGGGGGACCCGUGCAUCCAGCCAUGCCGCGUGUGUGAAGAAGGCCUUAUGGUUGUAAAGCACUUUAAAGCGAGGAGGAGGCUACUGAGACUAAUACUCUUGGAUAGUGGACGUUACUCGCAGAAUAAGCACCGGCUAACUCUGUGCCAGCAGCCGCGGUAAUACAGAGGGUGCGAGCGUUAAUCGGAUUUACUGGGCGUAAAGCGUGCGUAGGCGGCCAUUUAAGUCAAAUGUGAAAUCCCCGNG
rnacentral:rRNA from 1 species